AGUGAACGCUGGCGGUAGGCCUAACACAUGCAAGUCGAACGGCAGCACAGUAAGAGCUUGCUCUUACGGGUGGCGAGUGGCGGACGGGUGAGGAAUACAUCGGAAUCUACUUUUUCGUGGGGGAUAACGUAGGGAAACUUACGCUAAUACCGCAUACGACCUACGGGUGAAAGCAGGGGAUCUUCGGACCUUGCGCGAUUGAAUGAGCCGCUGUCGGAUUAGCUAGUUGGCGGGGUAAAGGCCCACCAAGGCGACGAUCCGUAGCUGGUCUGAGAGGAUGAUCAGCCACACUGGAACUGAGACACGGUCCAGGCUCCUACGGGAGGCAGCAGUGGGGAAUAUUGGACAGUGGGCGCAAGCCUGAUCCAGCCAUACCGCGUGGGUGAAGAAGGCCUUCGGGUGGUAAAGCCCUUUUGUUGGGAAAGAAAAGCAGCAGGUUAAUACCCCGCUGUUCUGACGGUACCCAAAGAAUAAGCACCGGCUAACUUCGU
rnacentral:rRNA from 1 species